rnacentral:rRNA from 1 species
UGAGUAACCUGCCCUGGACUUUGGGAUAACCCUCGGAAACGGGGCUAAUACCGGAUAUGACGGCUCACCGCAUGGUGUGGUUGUGGAAAGUUUUUCGGUCUGGGAUGGGCUCGCGGCCUAUCAGCUUGUUGGUGGGGUGAUGGCCUACCAAGGCGACGACGGGUAGCCGGCCUGAGAGGGCGACCGGCCACACUGGGACUGAGACACGGCCCAGACUCCUACGGGAGCA